CGAACGUGGGCAACCUGCCCUGAAGCGGGGGAUAACAUCUGGAAACAGGUGCUAAUACCGCAUAACAACGAAAACCACAUGGCUUUCGUUUCAAAGAUGGCUUCGGCUAUCACUUCAGGAUGGGCCCGCGGUGCAUUAGCUAGUUGGUAAGGUAACGGCUUACCAAGGCGAUGAUGCAUAGCCGAGUUGAGAGACUGAUCGGCCACAAUGGAACUGAGACACGGUCCAUACUCCUACGGGAGGCAGCAGCG
rnacentral:rRNA from 1 species